UACAGAGGGUGCGAGCGUUGUCCGGAAUCACUGGGCGUAAAGGGCGCGUAGGCGGCUUGAUAAGCGUGCGGUGAAAGCCCGGGGCUCAACCCCGGGUCGGCCGUGCGAACUGUCGAGCUGGAGCACUGUAGAGGCAGGUGGAAUUCCGGGUGUAGCGGUGGAAUGCGUAGAGAUCCGGAAGAACACCGGUGGCGAAGGCGGCCUGCUGGGCAGUGGCUGACGCUGAGGCGCGACAGCGUGGGGAGCAAACAGA
rnacentral:rRNA from 1 species